UACGGAGGGUGCAAGCGUUAUCCGGAUUUACUGGGUUUAAAGGGUGCGUAGGUGGGUUGGUAAGUCAGUGGUGAAAUACUUUCGCUUAACGAAGGAACUGCCAUUGAUACUACCAGUCUUGAAUACAGUGGAGGUAGGCGGAAUGCGUCAUGUAGCGGUGAAAUGCUUAGAUAUGACGCAGAACACCAAUUGCGAAGGCAGCUUGCUACACUGUUAUUGACACUGAGGCACGAAAAGCGUGGGGAUCAAACAGG
rnacentral:rRNA from 1 species